AUUGAACGCUGGCGGCAGGCCUAACACAUGCAAGUCGAGCGGAAGAAGGGAGCUUGCUCCUGGAUUCAGCGGCGGACGGGUGUGUAAUGCCUAGGAAUCUGCCUGGUAGUGGGGGAUAACGUCCGGAAACGGGCGCUAAUACCGCAUACGUCCUGAGGGAGAAAGUGGGGGAUCUUCGGACCUCACGCCCUCAGAUGAUUCUAGGUCGGAUUAGCUAGUUGGUGGGGUAAAGGCCUACCAAGGCGACGAUCCGUAACUGGUCUGAGAGGAUGAUCAGUCACACUGGAACUGAGACACGGUCCAGACUCCUACGGGAGGCAGCAGUGGGGAAUAUUGGACAAUGGGCGAAAGCCUGAUCCAGCAAUGCCGCGUGUGUGAAGAAGGUCUUCGGAUUGUAAAGCACUUUAAGUUGGGAGGAAGGGCAGUAAGUUAAUACCUUGCUGUUUUGACGUUACCAGCAGAAUAAGCACCGGCUAACUUCGUG
rnacentral:rRNA from 1 species